rnacentral:rRNA from 1 species
AUUGAACGCUGGCGGCAGGCCUAACACAUGCAAGUCGAACGCGUGGCGGACGGGAGAGUUGUGUGUGGGAAACUGCCCGAUGGAGGGGUAUAACUAGUGGAAAGUGUCGAUAAUACCACAUACCAUCGGAUGUGCCCAGAUGGGAUUAGCUAGUAGGUGGGGUAACGGCUCACCUAGGCGACGAUCCCUAGCUGGUCUGAGAGGAUGACCAGCCACACUGGAACUGAGACACGGUCCAGACUCCUACGGGAGGCAGCAGUGGGGAAUAUUGCACAAUGGGCGCAAGCCUGAUGCAGCCAUGCCGCGUGUAUGAAGAAGGCCUUCGGGUUGUAAAGUACUUUCAGCGAGGAGGCGUUACUCGCAGAAGAAGCACCGGCUAACUCCGUGCCAGCAGCCGCGGUAAUUC